rnacentral:misc_RNA from 1 species
UGAAUUGCGAUAAGUAAUGUGAAUUGCAUCACCUGUGAAUCAUCAAAUCUUUGAACGCAUUUUGCGCUUUUUGGGUCUACUAAAAAGCAUACCUGUUUGAGUAUCAGAAAGUACUCUAAAACCUCUCCUCUUCACUUACUUUAUUGUGUAUGAAUGAGAGAUUUAGGAAUUGAGGUCUAGCCUCGUAAGAGGUUAUUCCUUGAAAGUAAUUAAUGAAGUCAAAUAUAUUUCUUGACAUAUAAAGUGCGGUAAGAAAAUAGUUAUUUUCUCCCAUUGAUAUUAUGUUUCGAAUGUAUAUCUGACAUUACUCAUUAUUUUUUAGUAUUAACUACUACUAAAACUUUUGAACUCUUGAUCUCAAAUCAGGUAGGAUCACCCGCUGAACUUAA